CUGUCAAAAAUUUUUUAGGCGAAAUACCCAAAAAGAAGUUUGUAAAAAAAUAAACAUUUGUGGUUUGGAGUUGGAUAAAUUUCAGACAGAAAAACAGUCAGAGAUUCAUUUCCAAAAGCUUUUAAAACUUUUGAAACUAAACCAUUGAAAGCGGCAAAAAGCUGAACGAUUCAAACCAUCCGGAAUCCAAAAAAGCCGUAAAACUGAACGCUGUUUGGCUUAUGUAUUUAGCACCCACCGUCGAAAACAGUUCCAAGAUCAUAAAAUUCUAGUGGGGCCAAAUUAGCGGGUACUUGUUAAUCAAGACCGCCAAUCGAAAGGUCAAUAGACACAGCCUAAGAUAGUUUAUCUUUGGCGCCUUAAGAUACUCGAGAAGGGCGACAGAAAAACCAUAACUAGAACCAACAGGAAUGGUUAUCACUUUCUUGUGUCAACACGCCCUAACACUUGAUAGCUACAACACGUUUCAUUGGUCGCAGCUUUUACAACAGUUUGUAAUAAAUUUAAAAAGGAAUGGUUCCUUUCGACCUGG